rnacentral:tRNA from 1 species
CACUAAGAAGCUUUUACAGCACUAGCCUUUUAAGCUAGAGACGGGGGCAAGCAGCCCCCCUUAAUGAA